AUUCAAAGGAAGCUGAGCCAUGGUUAAAUGCCAUGAAGGCUGAGCUUGAUUCCUUAGAAAGGAACAAAACAUGGGAGCUAGUUCCAGUAGUUCCAGGAAUGAAACUGCUUGGAAGCAAAUGGGUCUUCAAAGCGAAGACAGAUCAAAAUGGCAAGAUAGUCAGACACAAAGCCAGAUUGGUAGCCAGAGGUUUUGCACAGGUACCAGGUGAAGACUAUCACGAGACCUAUUCACCCACAGUGAGAUAUGAAGCAUUAGGCUUAUGCUCAAGCUAGCUGCAGAGGA